GUCAUGUUUUAUGGUUUGAUUAACUUGAUUCAUGAUUGCAAUAAUGGAUAAAUAAAUACCAAAUAUAAUAUUGGCUUUGUUUUCUAGGGCCAAAACACAAUUUCACGAUACAUUCAACAAAGAUGUCAUCCUUCUUCCACGCCAUCAAGCAGUGUUGUUGUCAAGCAUCGCAUAAAGCAACAGUUACAUGAACAAGGACAUAUAUUGAGUGGAUUUGAAUUCCAGAAAUCCUGGGACCAUAGGACUGUCACUGAACAAAUAAGGGAUGCCUUUGGAGAAAAGCUCUCUGCUAAUGUGAGCAUAGAGUUUCUGAUGGCAUGUGGCCACAAAUUGAUUACACCCAAACUACGUGCUGGACAGGAGCUGGAUGCGAGUCUCAUAAAUAAAGUAUAUAAAUCAAAAGGCCUGUACAUUAGACCAUCAAAGCCAAUUUUGGAUGAUAUUACAGUCUAUUGCAGUGAAGAAAGCAACUGUGAGGAAAACAGUGGUUCAGCGAGGCAGCUGCGCUCCUCAUCUUUAACACAAAAUAGACACUCUGACAGUUUCACCAGUCUAAUGGCCUCUGGCUCCCCACCGAACUGUACUCUUGAAGUUCAACCUUUUGCCUCAUCACAUGUGUCUGGUGCAUUAUUCUCUCAAACUCCUGCCUUGACCAAUUAAAGAAGUAACUCACCCAACCACAGCAGCAAUUCGACAAGCUAUUUGUCUAGUCAACAGCCAGUGUGCUCACUGGAAAUCUGCCCUUCCACCAAUCAGCCUAUUACCUCAUCAUUUAGAGGAACUGUUUCAGUUAAUCCGCCUCUGGUGGAUCUUAAUGGCCAAAGCUUCUCAAGCUCACCUAACCAGAGCAGCAGUUUCGCAUUAGGCUCUACCUCAACACACCAUCAAUCAGGGAACUACGAUAGCUACCUUUCAGUAAUGUCUGCACUCUCUGACAUGUCUUCUGAUGAUGAGGAGUUAAAUCAGGCCACACUAGCAAGCCUGCAGAGUGAAAGGUUAGUCACAAUGCAGUUGUUUUACAGUAACCAAUAUCAAAGAUACAGUUUUGAUGUCAUUGCUUUUUUAUAUAUUUUUCUGAUUGUUUGAUUAGUUUACAGGUCUGUAUUGAAUGUAGUGAAUGGGUCCCUUACCUGCUCAUUUAUAUGCAUAUGAUGUGUAUAUUGCCCAUUAAUAUCAACAGAUGUUGUGCAGAUUGUUCAAAAUUGUCAAUGAGCUUGAACAAAACAUAAUACCACGCUCUUAAAAGUAGCAAGCAUUGUAACUUAUAUUAUUCUCAUUUGUUUUAGAAAGGCCACAGGAUGUCCAGUGCCAGCGAAAGAUAUUUUGCAAGAUCUUGCAACAAAAAUCAACCAUCAGAAGAAAUGCAAGUUUAUUAAAUAUAUUGAAUGAUGUUUUUAUUACUUUUCUGGACAUGGACAGUAUACCGUUCAUACAUGAAUAUUUAAUGAUCUGCGUAUAUUAAACUGUGUCCCAUCUUCGGAACACAAUUUAAGAUAUUUUAGAUUUAGUCCGAGAGCUUUCAGUCCAUCCAUUGAAAAUGUAUGUACGGUAUACUGUCCACGUCCAGAAAGGUAAUAAAAACAUCAUCAAAGUAGUCCA
ensembl:lncRNA